GUUGAGGCGAGUGGCUAUCAGGGCUCAUUACGCCACUUAGUCUACUGGAUGAGUUUGUACUUAGCGUGUGUCAUGCGAUGAUAUAACCAGAAUUGAUGGUAUGAAAGAAGUAAGGGAAGCGGAGGGGAGCUGCAGAGGGUCACCUUGAGGCUGCUGACCUGCCAGAGAUUGCAGAAUAGCAGCAGUUUAGCCGCCACUAACUCGCCUGACGAAAUGACACCCAUUAUACCGGAGACCCUCAGGACAUCCACCCCUACUGUAGACUCUGAGGCCACUGUCUCUCAGACAUGUUAUCUGACAUCACCAACCCUGCUUAGCUCCACAAUGAAACCCCUAAGUUGAUCCUGCACCAAAGAGAAACACAAAGGGAUGCCUGCUGUUCUUUUAUAGGUUAAGAGUCUGGCUGUCAUCCAUGAGAGUACUUUAUCUUUUCAGUCCCAGAUCAAUAACAUCUCCCGGUCUGCAUAUUUCCACUUACAUAACAUUAAUCGUA